GACAGAGCCUUAUGAUAGCUCCUUGAUAUAGCUGCUUGUUAGCGUUUCUUUUAUUUUUCAAUCCAAUAUUUAAACUAUGUGGGGACGCAGCGUUUAAUAGUGACACUGUCAUUCUGUACGGUAGAUAAGCCUUGCCAAUGUUUGUGGACGAAGAUCACAGUUGCAAUAGUUACAGUAGCAUUGAUUAUGAUGCGUUACAUUAUUGGAAGGUGUGCAUAUGCUUAACAGGGGAAUGAAGGCUAUGAACAGCUCGCCAACAAGAGCUGUUCCGAGUUUCAUUCACUUUGAAGGUUUUACAUUGUUAAGAGGUCCAAGAGUUCAGACUUCGUCUUCAUCUUGCACUACCAGGUAUCUAUCAACAUGGACAUUGAAAGAAACAAACUGCUUAGGUUCCUCAAAGAUGGGGCACCUACCAUGUUAGUCUAUGAGAUGCGUGGCAGGUACGAAUGGAUGAGAAGCGUUGAGAGCCUCGCCUCCUUUGACCAUGCCCUGAGCAAGCUAAAGAAGGAAAUACAUGACAAUGGCAUGGCACCACCACAGAUUGCUAUGCUUGCCCAGAUUCAAGAUAGAAGGAACAUUGUGUGGAUGGAGGGCCCUGCUAGGUGGACUGCCUAGGUUGUAAAUCAGAAUGAUAUCCUCUAUUGACAUAUACUGCCCCCCGGAUUUUUGCUGUGAAUUGAUCGUUUCGGGCUGAUCGCAUCGACAUAUACUCCUUUUGUGGCUCCCUUUUGUUGCCUUGGCUCGGGACUGUGCUAUUCUGAUUAUCAUUUUGUUAUAUUUGAUUACUGCCCCCUCGGUUAGGAUAUUUUGUUGGCUGAUUAGUUUAUCUGAAACAUAUAUUCUCUAGCUUAGUCUGUUGAUUCUACAUGUUUAAUUCUGUUUUUGUGGGUUGAGGCUUGCCUCCACCUCUGGUUCCUUGAUUUUUUGUAAACUCUCGAUUUAAAAAAACAAAAAAAAGGUCCUUGGCCCAAUCUUGUUACAUGUUUUUUUAUUGGAGCAUGGGGUCCAUUUCGCCAAAUUUCAACUGUCCCCACCUUCCCAAGGUUCUGUUGGCUGCACAGACGUUGCCAAUUUCUUUUACACGGUUUCCAUACGCAACUGCAAGUUGUCAGCCAUGUUAAUAUCGACCGUACGGUCUUCUUCUCAGCCAAGUCUUUUGCUUUAUGUAGUAAUUCAAGUGGACUAAUGAAGCAUUCCCUCACGAACUGAGAGUUUGGGUGAGCUGGUUUAGAGCAGAAACGCUUAUGCGCAUCAAGGCCCAUAACACCUUCUAUUUGUGACUGUCUUCUGUGGUAUCCCCAAUCCUAUAGUUUGCGACUCUGCCCAGCGACCUCAACCACCCUUGCCCUGGGCUUUUUUUUUGGUGCCACGCAACCUCAACCACCCUUGCAGGGGGCGAACGGAGGCGAGACUAGUCCACUGGAGCUGCAAGCCGAGGCUCAAACGCAACAUGCAGCAGGGAAAACCCAGCCGGAGUGAAUCGAACCUUGGACCUACAUGGGACAAAGCCAAAGCCUUAGCACAACCAUUCCAACCGUUUGAGCUAGCAGGCGAACCCAACUUAGUAGUACUGUUAGUUUGAGCUUUUAGUCAGCUCUUGAUUAAUCCUUGUGUGUCGUUGCUGUUUGCUGACUUCAACUGAUUACUCUGGUUAUUUGUAACUAAUUGUAAAACAAUAAAGCUAAACGUAAAGAUCGAAAGACAGAUUGAAAGAACAUUUAGAAAAGACUGUAGUUGACUGUUCCACAUCAUAACUGUGGAAACAGUGUUCUGAACUGUUGAGGUUAUGAAAAUUGAGUGUAUGGAGAUAGAUGUGGAGCAGUGUUUAGAAUUGUUGCAGUUUAUAAAAAAUUGACUGCAGGACACUUAAUUUUGUUGGGUGAAGCUAGGACUUACCCAAGAUCCUCCACCGUGUUUUGUUGGGUGAAGAUAGGACUUCGCCUCUAAAGGUAAACGUAUACCAGAAAACUAUCUUUGCAUAGAAAUUGCACUCAAAACUUCCAUUAAAAAGUAAUACGUGUGAAGGUAGAGGUACCCAUUUUAAAAACUGAUAAAUGGGAUGAAAAGGUUCUUUAUUUGCUAUUUUAAAAAAAUGUUUAAAAAAGUUGAGGUUAUUUAUUUUCUUU